UGACAAACGGAACACCUGAGACUGCGAUUGGAUCUUCUUUUUAGCGCACUUAGUGCUCAUGUUCAUGUUCGCUGAUAAUCUGAGGUUUAUUCGGUUGGGUUUGGUUGAGCCUCAGUGUCAUUUGAAGUGAUCGUCGAUCCGCAGAUGCUGCUCCAUUAAUCAUGUGGGUAUUAUAACUAUGGGCAGCUAAUAUUUCAAAUUUUUACAGCCGAGUUAACCGUGUAAUUAUUGCGUUGUUUGUGGUUCCAUGAUCUCUGACCAGUGGCCCAUCUGUUCAUCCACCAAUUGAUGAUUCAUUUCAAUCACUGGCAGUGACUUUAAGUUAUUGUUUGACUUUGUCAAUUUUGUUUUGCCAAAGACAUGAAUUCAAUCUGUCAAUCAAAAAAUUACGAAAGUGUAACCGAAUAUUAUAUUUUAGGGAUUGAUUUCA